rnacentral:rRNA from 1 species
GACGAACGUUGGCGGCGUGCUUAAUACAUGCAAGUCAACUGAAGCAGUGGUAGCAAUAUCGCUGUGGAGGUGGCGCACGGGUGAGUAACACGUAGGUAAUCUGCCUUCAGGUCUGGCAUAACUCCGGGAAACCGGGGCUAAUAGCAGAUGAUGCAGCGGCUCGACAUCGAGACAGUUGUUAAAGCUAUGGCGCCUGAAGAUGAGCCUGCGUCUGAUUAGCUAGUUGGCGGGGUAACGGCCCACCAAGGCAACGAUCAGUAGCUGGUCUGAGAGGAUGAUCAGCCACACUGGAACUGAGACCCGGUCCAGACUCCUACGGGAGGCAGCAGUAAGGAAUAUUGCUCAAUGGGAGAAAUCCUGAAGCAGCAACGCCGCGUGAGGGACGAAGGGCUUUUGCUUGUAAACCUCUGUAGUGAGAGAAAAAAAUCCCAAUCUUUGGGACAUGAUGGUAUCUCAAAAGUAAGCCCCGGCUAACUACGUG